AUACGGAGGGUGCGAGCGUUAAUCGGAAUUACUGGGCGUAAAGCGUGCGUAGGCGGUUUGUUAAGUCAGAAGUGAAAGCCCUGGGCUCAACCUGGGAACGGCUUUUGAGACUGGCAGACUCGAGUUGAGUAGAGGGGAGUGGAAUUUCCGGUGUAGCGGUGAAAUGCGUAGAGAUCGGAAGGAACACCAGUGGCGAGGGCGACUCCCUGGACUCAAACUGACGCUGAGGUACGAAAGCGUGGGUAGCAAACAGGAUUAGAAACCCUAGUAGUCC
rnacentral:rRNA from 1 species